AAGGCUAAAUACUCCUGACUGACCGAUAGUGAACCAGUACCGUGAGGGAAAGGCGAAAAGAACCCCGGCGAGGGGAGUGAAAAAGAACCUGAAACCGUGUACGUACAAGCAGUGGGAGCCCCACCACUAAGCCAGUGGUGAACUCCACAUACGCAUCCUUUGCUGAGGAUACGGUUAACGGAGCGAAAGCGACGUUCAACCUCAAAAGAAGCAGAGGGGGCUUAGUGGUGGGGUGACUGCGUACCUUUUGUAUAAUGGGUCAGCGACUUAUAUUCUGUAGCAAGGUUAACCGCAUAGGGGAGCCGGAGGGAAACCGAGUCUUAAUUGGGCGUUAAGUUGCAGGGUAUAGACCCGAAACCCGGUGAUCUAGCCAUGGGCAGGUUGAAGGUUGGGUAACACUAACUGGAGGACCGAACCGAC
rnacentral:rRNA from 1 species